CAGUAGCCGCGGUAAUACGUAGGGUGCGAGCGUUAAUCGGAAUUACUGGGCGUAAAGCGUGCGCAGGCGGUUGUGUAAGACAGGUGUGAAAUCCCCGGGCUUAACCUGGGAACUGCGCUUGUGACUGCACAGCUAGAGUAUGGCAGAGGGGGGUGGAAUUCCACGUGUAGCAGUGAAAUGCGUAGAGAUGUGGAGGAAUACCGAUGGCGAAGGCAGCCCCCUGGGCCAAUACUGACGCUCAUGCACGAGAGCGUGGGGAGCAAACAGGAUUAGAUACCCCUGUAGUCCUGUCUCUUAUACA
rnacentral:rRNA from 1 species